AUUGAACGCUGGCGGCAUGCCUUACACAUGCAAGUCGAACGGCAGCACGGGAGCAAUCCUGGUGGCGAGUGGCGAACGGGUGAGUAAUGUAUCGGAACGUGCCCAGUCGUGGGGGAUAACGUAGCGAAAGCUACGCUAAUACCGCAUACGAUCUAUGGAUGAAAGCGGGGGAUCGCAAGACCUCGCGCGAUUGGAGCGGCCGAUAUCAGAUUAGGUAGUUGGUGGGGUAAAGGCUCACCAAGCCGACGAUCUGUAGCUGGUCUGAGAGGACGGACAGCCCCACUGGGACUGAGACACGGCCCAGACUCCUACGGGAGGCAGCAGUGGGGAAUUUUGGACAAUGGGCGCAAGCCUGAUCCAGCAAUGCCGCGUGCAGGAUGAAGGCAUUCGGGUUGUAAACUGCUUUUGUACGGAACGAAACGGUGAGCUCUAAUACAGUUUGCUAAUGACGGUACCGUAAGAAUAAGCACCGGCUAACUACGUGCCAGCCGCCGCGGUAA
rnacentral:rRNA from 1 species